rnacentral:rRNA from 1 species
CAGUCGCCACGGUAAUACGGAGGGUGCAAGCGUUAUCCGGAUUUAUUGGGUUUAAAGGGUCCGUAGGCGGACUUAUAAGUCAGUGGUGAAAGCCUGUCGCUUAACGAUAGAACUGCCAUUGAUACUGUAAGUCUUGAGUAUAUUUGAGGUAGCUGGAAUAAGUAGUGUAGCGGUGAAAUGCAUAGAUAUUACUUAGAACACCAAUUGCGAAGGCAGGUUACCAAGAUAUAACUGACGCUGAGGGACGAAAGCGUGGGUAGCGAACAGGAUUAGAGACCCGUGUAGUCCCUGUCUCUUAUAC